GACAGAGGGUGCAAACGUUGUUCGGAAUUACUGGGCGUAAAGCGUGUGUAGGCGGCCACGUAAGUCAGGUGUGAAAGCCCCGGGCUCAACCCGGGAAGUGCACUUGAUACUGCGUGGCUUGAGUAUCGGAGAGGUUGGUGGAAUUCUCGGUGUAGAGGUGAAAUUCGUAGAUAUCGAGAGGAACACCGGUGGCGAAGGCGGCCAACUGGACAGAUACUGACGCUGAGACACGAAAGCGUGGGGAGCAAACAGG
rnacentral:rRNA from 1 species